AAGGGAGACCUAAUUCAGGUAUGGGACGAAAAAAAAGUAGUCGCUACCAAGAAUCAAUCCCAAAAGGUCGGAGCGAGGUAUGAGGCUUUCAAACUAGGUUCUGGGUUCAAACAAGACCUGAAUCAGGAACAAGGGCUAUUAGCUCAGGUGGUUAGAGCGCACCCCUGAUAAGGGUGAGGUCCCUGGCUCGAGUCCAGGAUGGCCCACCUGCACAGGUGGCAAAAACAAGAGAAGCUCCGAAUCAGCACCUUAUCUUAUCUAUAUAUAAGAGAGAAUGCUGGCUCUGAGUACAGAGUCCAGAGGAACCUUGAAAACUGCAUAGAGCUAGGUGAAAAAGCCAAAAAGGAAGACCGCAA
rnacentral:tRNA from 1 species